rnacentral:rRNA from 1 species
UACGUAGGGAGCGAGCGUUGUCCGGAAUUAUUGGGCGUAAAGGGCUUGUAGGCGGUUUGUCGCGUCUGCCGUGAAAUUCCUUGGCUUAACUGGGGGAGUGCGGUGGGUACGGGCAGGCUUGAGUGCGGUAGGGGAGACUGGAAUUCCUGGUGUAGCGGUGGAAUGCGCAGAUAUCAGGAGGAACACCGGUGGCGAAGGCGGGUCUCUGGGCCGUUACUGACGCUGAGGAGCGAAAGCGUGGGGAGCGAACAGGAUUAGAUACCCUGGUAGUCCAUGCUGUAAACGUUGGGCACUAGGUGUGGGGGCCGCCCUUGGUUUCCGCGCCGUAGCUAACGCUUUAAGUGCCCCGCCUGGGGAGUACGGCCGCAAGGCUAAA